GACGAACGCUGGCGGCGUGCUUAACACAUGCAAGUCGAACGGAAAGGCCCUGCUUUUGUGGGGUGCUCGAGUGGCGAACGGGUGAGUAACACGUGAGUAACCUGCCCUUGACUUUGGGAUAACUUCAGGAAACUGGGGCUAAUACCGGAUAGGAGCUCCUGCUGCAUGGGGGGGGUUGGAAAGGUUCGGCGGUUGGGGAUGGACUCGCGGCUUAUCAGCUUGUUGGUGGGGUAGUGGCUUACCAAGGCUUUGACGGGUAGCCGGCCUGAGAGGGUGACCGGCCACCUUGGGACUGAGAUACGGCCCAGACUCCUACGGGAGGCAGCAGUGGGGAAUAUUGCACAAUGGGCGGAAGCCUGAUGCAGCAACGCCGCGUGCGGGAUGACGGCCUUCGGGUUGUAAACCGCUUUCGCCUGUGACGAAGCGUGAGUGACGGUAAUGGGUAAAGAAGCACCGGCUAACUACGUG
rnacentral:rRNA from 1 species